rnacentral:misc_RNA from 1 species
GGCAAGUUUCAUCAACGCCCUUGAUCUCUCCGGGGAUAUCCACCAGAAUUGGAGCGUAGGAUUUGAUUAUGUGGAUGAACUCAUUCGUUUUGCUGAGUGUUUCGAAACAAACGCUUUCCAACUCGCACAUGUGAUACUGGCACGCCUCAAUCAACGGCUCAGAUCCGCAGCAGGAAAACCUCUCCAACGAGCUGCCUUUUACUUCAAGGAAGCACUUCAAGC